rnacentral:rRNA from 1 species
GAUGAACGCUGGCGGCGUGCCUAAUACAUGCAAGUCGAGCGAACAGACGAGGAGCUUGCUCCUCUGACGUUAGCGGCGGACGGGUGAGUAACACGUGGAUAACCUACCUAUAAGACUGGGAUAACUUCGGGAAACCGGAGCUAAUACCGGAUAAUAUAUUGAACCGCAUGGUUCAAUAGUGAAAGACGGUUUUGCUGUCACUUAUAGAUGGAUCCGCGCCGCAUUAGCUAGUUGGAAAGGUAACGGCUUACCAAGGCGACGAUGCGUAGCCGACCUGAGAGGGUGAUCGGCCACACUGGAACUGAGACACGGUCCAGACUCCUACGGGAGGCAGCAGUAGGGAAUCUUCCGCAAAGGGCGAAAGCCUGACGGAGCAACGCCGCGUGAGUGAUGAAGGUCUUCGGAUCGUAAAACUCUGUUAUUAGGGAAGAACAAAUGUGUAAGUAACUAUGCACGUCUUGACGGUACCUAAUCAGAAAGCCACGGCUAACUACGUG